rnacentral:rRNA from 1 species
CCUACGGGCGGCAGCAGUGGGGAAUAUUGCACAAUGGGGGGAACCCUGAUGCAGCGACGCCGCGUGAGUGAAGAAGUAUUUCGGUAUGUAAAGCUCUGUCAGCAGGGAAGAAGAAAGACGGUACCUGACCAAGAAGCCCCGGCUAACUACGUACCAGCAGCCGCGGUAAUACGUAGGGGGCAAGCGUUAUCCGGAUUUACUGGGUGUAAAGGGAGCGUAGACGGCAGGGCAAGUCUGGAGUGAAAGGCGGGGGCCCAACCCCUGGACUGCUCUGGAAACUGUCCGGCUGGAGUGCAGGAGAGGUAAGUGGAAUUCCUGGUGUAGCGGUGAAAUGCGUAGAUAUUAGGAGGAACACCAGUGGCGAAGGCGGCUUACUGGACUGUAACUGACGUUGAGGCUCGAAAGCGUGGGGAGCAAACAGGAUUAGAUACCCCAGUAGUC